GUAGGUGGCAAGCGUUGUCCGGAAUUAUUGGGCGUAAAGCGCGCGCAGGCGGUUCUUUAAGUCUGAUGUGAAAGCCCACGGGCUCAACCGUGGAGGGUCAUUGGAAACUGGAGAACUUGAGUACAGAAGAGGAAAGCGGAAUUCCACGUGUAGCGGUGAAAUGCGUAGAGAUGUGGAGGAACACCAGUGGCGAAGGCGGCUUUCUGGUCUGUAAUUGACGCUGAGGCGCGAAAGCGUGGGGAGCAAACAGGAUUAGAUACCCUGGUAGUCCACGCCGUAAACGAUGAGUGCUAAGUGUUAGGGGGUUUCCGCCCCUUAGUGCUGCAGCUAACGCAUUAAGCACUCCGCCUGGGGAGUACGGCCGCAAGGCUG
rnacentral:rRNA from 1 species